rnacentral:rRNA from 1 species
ACGGAAGGCAGCAGUGGGGAAUAUUGCGCAAUGGGCGGAAGCCUGACGCAGCGACGCCGCGUGGGGGAUGACGGCCUUCGGGUUGUAAACCUCUUUCGGCCCCGACGAAGCGUGAGUGACGGUAGGGGUAGAAGAAGCACCGGCCAACUACGUGCCAGCAGCCGCGGUAACACGUAGGGUGCGAGCGUUGUCCGGAAUUAUUGGGCGUAAAGAGCUCGUAGGCGGUGUGUCGCGUCGGCCGUGAAAACCUGCAGCUUAACUGUGGGCUUGCGGUCGAUACGGGCAUCACUGGAGUUCGGCAGGGGAGACUGGAAUUCCUGGUGUAGCGGUGAAAUGCGCAGAUAUCAGGAGGAACACCGGUGGCGAAGGCGGGUCUCUGGGCCGAUACUGACGCUGAGGAGCGAAAGCGUGGGGAGCGAACAGGAUUAGAUACCCUGGUA